AGCAAGCGUGUUUUGUUUUCGCUUUAUCGUAGCAACUGUCUAAAUCGAGGAAAAUUAAUUUUAUUUUUAAAAAAAUUCAGACUCCAGUUUCCACUAUUUUAUUGGGCAAACCAUAAUCCAAAAAUAACAGUUCUCAAAACCCAUACGCCAACAAAUAGAAAAUCAAAAUGAAAUUCAAGCAUACAAAACAUAGACUGAGAAUAAUUUGGACAAUGAAAAAAUUUGAAUUUGCUAUCAUAGUAAUUUCAUCUUGCUAAAUUCGCUUUGGAUCUAUAACAUCUGCACGAAAAUUCCUUGCGUUUCAGGAAAAAAAAUUCAAUUCAUAAAAAUAAUUUGUUAAAUUGGAUUAUGAAUAUACAGCAGCGGCCAAACAGUUUAGAUGACUUUCGGUUUUGGCGAAAUUUUUUUCCACGUAAUAAUAUUUCUUUGGAAAUUUUUAUAUCUCUGACAUAAUCUAAGAUUUUUUAUUAUUUACUUUUCAUCCGCUUUCAUUGUGGCUGUGCUGCGCGGAUGCAGUGAAGUAUUUGAAAAAAAAAAAAAAUAGAAAUGUAUAAGUAUUGUGAAGCAUUGCGAGCACAAUCUGGCGUUGAAA